ensembl:rRNA 5S_rRNA 5S ribosomal RNA
GCCUGCUGUCAGCGUCUGUGGGCAUGAAACCCUGAUCCGGAAGCUAAGCAGAAACAGGUCUGGCAAGUACCUGGAUGGGAGUCUGCCUAGGAAUACUGGGUGCUGUAGGCU